rnacentral:pre_miRNA from 1 species
AUACUCACCGUCUCAGCUGGUGUGAGGUUGGGUCAGGAUGGAACCCCAGGCUCUUCGAGGCUCCCCACCACACCCUGCUGCUGAAGACUGCUCAGCGAGGCUGUGCCGAGUGCUGGGG